GGAGCUGUGGCUCAGUGGUAGAGCACUUGCCCCACAAGUAUGAAGCACUGGGUUCAAUCCUAGCACCA
rnacentral:tRNA from 1 species